rnacentral:rRNA from 1 species
AAAUUGAAGAGUUUGAUCAUGGCUCAGAUUGAACGCUGGCGGCAGGCCUAACACAUGCAAGUCGAACGGUAACAGGAAACAGCUUGCUGUUUCGCUGACGAGUGGCGGACGGGUGAGUAAUGUCUGGGAAACUGCCUGAUGGAGGGGGAUAACUACUGGAAACGGUAGCUAAUACCGCAUAACGUCGCAAGACCAAAGAGGGGGACCUUCGGGCCUCUUGCCAUCGGAUGUGCCCAGAUGGGAUUAGCUUGUUGGUGGGGUAACGGCUCACCAAGGCGACGAUCC